UAAAUUAAAAGUACAAAUGGCCUAAGGAAACCUCUUGGUCGUGAGUCAUGUUUCAACAAGUCAAACUUUAAUUUCCACCUUCAAUAAGCCACCAAAAUGUGUUGACUUCUUGUCCCAUGUGCACCAUUCUUCAAGGAAAUAAGCAUGUGCCUUAAACAGACAAUAAAACCAUGUUUUCCUCCCUUCCCAUUCAGCAAAAACGUGAUCCAGACACCAAGGAACAAAACUUACGUGAGCUAGAGAGAAAUUCUACAAAAAGUGCUUCAAACUAAGGGGUAAAUGAAAGAUACUUUGGGUGGUCCAACCAAGAUGCCAUGUAAGCAAAGUCAAAUGAAAUUAAACACCAAAAACCUCCCUUCUCAUGUGCAAUUCUCGGCAGAAUUCUUCACUAAAGACAAAGCCAAAAGUGGAAACAUUCUUUGAGUGAAAAUGAGCAUCUUUUGUGCUUGUCCAAAUCGGGUAAAAAUUAAAUGCACCUUCUACCUUCUCUCUUCCUUCUCCACUCCAUUUUCGUUUUUCUCACCAACACUAACCUUCAUAUUGUCUCUCCACAUCUGAAUAUCGAGAACGAGCACAAGAAUUCCAAAGUUCAACAUCAAAAUAACACAAGCACAACAAACCCAAAGUCUAUCUUCUUCAACCCAACUUCAACACUCACUUUUCUUCAAACUUUUAAUGAAAACAAAAUCCAAUCCCUAGCUCCCCUUGCUUCACCGUCCAGUCAUCAUCAACAAACAAAAUGUCCAACUCCAAAUAUUGCUUCAAACCAUCAACAAAAGCAAAAGAAGAAAAGGGUUCAAACAUGAAACACCCAUACACCAACUCAAGCCUUUUUCACUACCAAACUUAACAAGAACUUCAUUUUCAUGAUCCAAUCCAAGAAACUCAAAGUAAAUAUGAAAAUAUGGCAGCAAAGAAGGAGAAAAACGAAAUAGCUAUUCAUUCAAACCAAAGACCCAUCAUGAAAAAUGCAAGAAACCACCUCAAAACUCAAGCUUAUGCUCUCAACUUUCAAGAAGAAAUGAAAGGAAAAUGGGUGAGGGAUUCACUUCCACCAAGCAAAGAUAAACAAGAUUUAAGUAAGAGAAGAAGAAAAACAUGAUCUUGCUCAUUCC
rnacentral:lncRNA from 1 species